UAAACUCGUAGCUCAAUAUCCAAAUCAUAUGGAUAUAAAACAUGAAAUAGAAGAAUUGUCCAAGGAAUUGUUGCAUAAAAAUGUAAAUUUCAGCGCUUACCGACUAAUACCUCUCGACAAUAGUCUUCUGAUAUCGAUUUUUAAAACGGCAC